CUUUUUCUUCAGGACCUCUAAUGCGGCUCUUUGGAACUGAAGGGAACUGCAGGAUCUAUCUCUCCCUUCAGGGCCUCCUCUUGGCUGUCCUAUGGCCUUGAUGCCACCGCUGCUCUUCCAAUAAGGCUCCCCUUAAAAGUCCAUGAUGGCCAGAGAUGGCCUCAGAGGCUGAGGGGGCUGGGGAGGUUGGAUCCACUGCACAUCAAACACUUCCAGAAAUCUCAUCACUAGAUUGGUUUGCCUGGCUGUUUUCUGCCUUUGAGGUCAUGUUGGAUUUCUCCCAGGAGCUUGGGAGUCCACUUGUCCUUUAGGAAGGCAGCCCUGGGCUACAUUCCUAUUGUGAACAGAGCAUGGAUACUUGUCUUAGGCGAUGUCUUAACUGUGGCUCAGUCACUGAGCAGAGGCCCAGCUGUUGAACCUUACAGUAGAAAAAUCUACCUUCGUUGCUAUUGUUUGAAGAAAGAUUCCUACUAUGCAUCCCAGAGCAUGCCCACCUUACACUUUUCCCCUGUGUGAGCUGAGUUAGAGCUGUGGUGGUCUGGGAAGGGAGAGUGUCUUCACGUUAACUGUCUCAGGUGGCUGAGGUGACCGCCACGCACUCGGUCUCUUUACACGGCUUAUAAGUCCGAGUAUAUGGGUGUGAGUCAACGGAAAGAUAACUUGUCAGCUUCUGUUCAGUGCCAACAUUAGCAAUAGACAGUUAGAGUCACAUGGUCUGCCUAAGGAAAGGGGUGGAUGGGAAAUGGAGAGAAGGGAGAGCCAUGUGACUGGAGACAGCGACACAUGCCUGAGAGGUGGAGGCAGGAGGAUUACAAGUCCAGAGCUAGCCUCAACUACAUAGAAAGAUGGUUUCUAAAAAAAAAAAAAAUGAGUAAAUAAUUAGCACAAUUUC